rnacentral:rRNA from 1 species
UGCAAGUCGAACGAUGAAGCUCUUCGGGGUGGAUUAGUGGCGAACGGGUGAGUAACACGUGAGUAACCUGCCCUUCACUUCAGGAUAAGCCUUGGAAACGGGGUCUAAUACUGGAUAUGACUCAAGCUCGCAUGGGUUUGGGUGGAAAGAUUUUUUGGUGGGGGAUGGACUCGCGGCCUAUCAGCUUGUUGGUGAGGUAGUGGCUUACCAAGGCGACGACGGGUAGCCGGCCUGAGAGGGUGACCGGCCACACUGGGACUGAGACACGGCCCAGACUCCUACGGGAGGCAGCAGUGGGGAAUAUUGCACAAUGGGCGCAAGCCUGAUGCAGCGACGCCGCGUGAGGGAUGAAGGCCUUCGGGUUGUAAACCUCUUUCGUCAGGGAAGAAGCGAGAGUGACGGUACCUGAAGAAGAAGCACCGGCUAACUACGUGCCAGCAGCCGUGGUAAUACGAAGGGUGCAAGCGUUACUCGGAAUUACUGGGCGUAAAGCGUGCGUAGGUGGUGGUUUAAGUCCGUUGUGAAAGCCCUGGGCUCAACCUGGGAAUUGCAGUGGAUACUGGAUCACUAGAGUGUGGUAGAGGGAUGCGGAAUUUCUGGUGUAGCAGUGAAAUGCGUAGAGAUCAGAAGGAACAUCCGUGGCGAAGGCGGCAUCCUGGGCCAACACUGACACUGAGGCACGAAAGCGUGGGGAGCAACA